UCUUGGUCAUUUAGAGGAAGUAAAAGUCGUAACAAGGUUUCCGUAGGUGAACCUGCGGAAGGAUCAUUAUCAAUUUCUGGAAAUGCCCCUAACCCGGGCUCUCAAGAAAACACAUCCAUGCGUAUUCUGCCAUGUUGCUUCCCCAGGCCAGUGGCCACUGCCACCAGUCAGGCAUCCAUAGGGGAGCUAGACUGAGGUGCCUGGGGAAGGGUCAUCUAUUAAACUUUACAUUAACUUACAGUCUGAGAAGGCAAUGUGCCGAAAUUAUCAAAUAUGUUAAAACUUUCAACAACGGAUCUCUUGGCUCUCGCAUCGAUGAAGAACGCAGCGAAAUGCGAUAAGUAAUGUGAAUUGCAGAAUUCAGUGAAUCAUCGAAUCUUUGAACGCACAUUGCGCCCUUUGGUAUUCCAUAGGGCAUGCCUGUUCGAGCGUCACUAAUAACCUCAUCACCAACUGUGUGGUAUUGGCAGAAGUGGGUAGGGCUAGCAUUGCUGGUCCCACUCUGCUGGAAUAAAUAGGCCGGAAAUGUAGACCACAGUAACAGACUUUCAGAGUAUUUGAGAUACUAAACUAGUUUGAAGCUGGUCAGAAUCCAGGCCUAUUGGACCCCCAUUCUGUGUAAAGCUAGUAAGGUUGACCUCGGAUCAGGUAGGGAUACCCGCUAGACUUAAGCAUAUCAAUAAGCGGAGGA
rnacentral:rRNA from 1 species